GAAAUGCGAUAAGUAAUGUGAAUUGCAGAAUUCCGUGAAUCAUCGAAUCUUUGAACGCACAUUGCGCCCUCUGGUAUUCCGGGGGGCAUGCCUGUCCGAGCGUCAUUGCGAACCCCUCAAGCACGGCUUGUGUGAUGGGCCCUCCCGCGUCUUGGUCGUCAAGACGGGCCCGAAAUGCAGUGGCGGCUUCGCGGUUAUCCGAUCAGCCAGAGCGUAUGGGGACUUUCUCUCUUUCACACGCCCGCGGCGCGGACCGACGCCUGUCGACCUUCAUUCAUCGUUUUCUCGGUUGACCUCGGAUCAGGUAGGGAUACCCGCUGAACUUAAGC
rnacentral:misc_RNA from 1 species